ensembl:lncRNA
ACCUGCCCGGGGCUCAGCCGCACCUCGCUGGGGGCCUCGCAUUUCAUUUGGGUCCCGCAUUCUGUUAAACACGGCAGAGUUUCCUGCUCGCUAUCCUGCAGCAUCUCGCCAUUUACUUCGCAAUUUUUCCUCUCCUUCCCUGACAGAGAGGUAUGCCGGUGCCCAGCCCCCUAAUCAGCAGGUCAGAGGUGGUAAAUGGCAUGUGUUAAGACGGAUAAGCAGAAAGAGAAAGAGAAAAAACAGAAAGAGAAAAAGAAACGUUCAUUAGGAAAAAUAACGAGUCCAGGAAGAAUAAAUGUCAGAACAGCAAAAAACACCUCUUAUUUUUUCACAUUAUUAAAUUGCCUUUGGUAUCUUAGGCCUUGAGGUAAUAUUUUACUGCUUUACAAUUUGCAAAACCAAAAUUAAGGCAGAUGGGGAACAGGGGUGGGAGAGAGUGCAAAUUAGAUGCUAAUAAGGGGGCGUUUGAUGCGUUCCAACCUGCACCUGCCCUCACCUGAGCCUCCUGGGAUUGUCAGGGAUUUCCCACUGACAAUAUUGUUGGCGAUCAUCAGAAAAUUAGGCCGUUGGAGGCUGGGGAGGAAAAAGGAGGAGCCAGGGAAAUCUUUUAAAAAUGCAAAUCAGAUCAUUUUACUCCAUAUAAAACCACAAGGUGGUAUGGGGCCCUGUGAUCAGAACCCACCUGUCUCUCCAGCCCACUUCGCCCCUUCCCACACACAGACCCUCUCUGUCCCAGCCCAGCUUGCCUCCCCUUCCUUCCCUGGGAGGUGCCCCAUCUCAUAGAGCUCCGUCUUCCUUCCUUUGUAAUGAUCCACCGCUCUGUAAUGUUCUUCCUUCUGAUUUCAAACAAUGUCACUUCCUCUGACAAGCCUUCCCCCAAAGAAGAGGUUGUUGCACCCUUUUCUUGAGCACCCUAUGAGCCCCCUUUGUAACAUGCUCCACACUCUUAACCUGUUCACCAACUGCAGUGAGUUAAAUGGUGGCCCCCGAAGAGAUAUGUCCAUGUCCUAACCUUGGAAACCUGUCAAUGUGACCUUAUUUGGAAGAAGAGUCUUUGCAGGUAUAAUUAAGGAACUUGAGAUCAUCCUGGAUUAUCCCCAUGGGCCCUAAACCCUGUGAUAAAUGUCCUUUAUAAGAGACACCCAGAGGAAAGACACACAGGGAAAAGAGGAGAUAGUCAUGGGAAGUCAGAGACAGAGACUGGAGUGAUGCAGCCAUAAGCCAAGGAACAUCUGGAGCCACCAGAAGCUGGAAGAGGCAAGAAAGGAUGCUCCCCUAGAGUGAUGGAGGGAGCGCAGCCCACUGACACCUUGACUUUGAACUUAAGACCUCCAGAGCUGUGAGAGAAGAUGCAAUCACCAACCACCUAGGACCAAACCACGCCCCACCACAAGAGCAGCACCUGCACAGAUGAGCGGAGAGAUGACCUCAAGUUGCCCUUUAUUUAACGUGCAGUGUACGCGGAAGCAUGUUUUCCAGUUGAGCCGGCACAAGCAAAUACCCACCUCUCCCUUUGAAUAUUCAUUCCCCACCCAAAAUAAAAGGCCCCUGCUGUCCCAUGCUUGGGGAGAGCCAUGACUUUGGAAAUGAUUCUGUGUGGUCUCCCAUUUGCUGCAAAUAAACUCUCCUUUGUGCGAUAACUACUUCUGGUGGAGAGUCUGAUUUUAACUCACCAGGAAGCAAACCCAAUUUGGUUCAGUAACACUUCCAAGUCUCAGUCUUCUGAUUUCUUGGCUAUAGUCUCCACUUAACUUGAUGAUUAUAAAUAGGCCUCCAGCCUAU